UACAGAGGGUGCAAGCGUUGUUCGGAAUCAUUGGGCGUAAAGGGCGUGUAGGCGGUUUGGUAAGUCAUGUGUGAAAUCCCUCGGCUCAACCGGGGAACGACGCAUGAAACUGGCAAGCUAGAGUACCAAAGAGGGCGGUGGAAUUCCCGGUGUAGCGGUGAAAUUCGUAGAUAUCGGGAGGAACACCAGUGGCGAAGGCGGCGAUCUGGACGGAUAUUGACGCUGAUGUACGAAAGCGUGGGGAGCAAACAGG
rnacentral:rRNA from 1 species